UCGCAUUCACUUCCCUGCAUGCAAGACAACAUGUGAGUGAUGCAGGUAUGUAAGCGAGGUGAGUCCAACUCAAGCUCAACUAACAAGUACUACUAGGGUAGGCUAGGAGUUACAAAAAUUGAAGUGUCUGCCAUGGCUAUGGAUCUGGAAAUGAUGCAGGUGGCGAUGGCAGCGGAGCGUUGAAAGGAACUACGUACGCAUGCGAUGCCUGCGACGAACUGCUUAAAGAGAUCUAUAGCAUGAGAUUCCGAAAGGAACAAGGAAAGUAAGGUGGGGAUCCAGAUCGAAGGCUAGGGUAUGCUAGGUGGCGAACAUGGCAUGCAUCUGGUCCUGGAGGAGGAGGCGAAGAGAGAUGCUGUGGCGCAUCUUCUAUAAUUCAAGGGAGCGAGCAACAUGUUAUCGCAGAAGAAUUAAG
rnacentral:lncRNA from 1 species